CCUACGGGGGGCAGCAGUGGGGAAUAUUGGACAAUGGGGGGAACCCUGAUCCAGCCAUGCCGCGUGUGUGAAGAAGGCCCUCGGGUUGUAAAGCACUUUCAGUGAGGAAGAACGCCUGGUGGUUAAUACCCAUCAGGAAAGACAUCACUCACAGAAGAAGCACCGGCUAACUCCGUGCCAGCAGCCGCGGUAAUACGGAGGGUGCGAGCGUUAAUCGGAAUUACUGGGCGUAAAGCGCGCGUAGGUGGCUUGAUAAGCCGGUUGUGAAAGCCCCGGGCUCAACCUGGGAACGGCAUCCGGAACUGUCCAGCUAGAGUGCAGGAGAGGAAGGUAGAAUUGCCGGUGUAGCGGUGAAAUGCGUAGAGAUCGGGAGGAAUACCAGUGGCGAAGGCGGCCUUCUGGACUGACACUGACACUGAGGUGCGAAAGCGUGGGUAGCAAACAGGAUUAGAUACCCUGGUAGUA
rnacentral:rRNA from 1 species